ensembl:snRNA U6 U6 spliceosomal RNA
GUGCUUUCUUCAGCAGCUCGUGUACUGAAAUUGGAACAAUACAGGGAAUAUUACCAUGGCUUUUACUCAAGGUUGACACAAAUUCAUGAAGAGUUCCAUAUUUUA